GUUGCCCCCUAGAAGCAUUGCAGGUGUGGGUGCUAUGUCACUUGUGCGUCAGUAGGUGGCAGACAGGGGAGAGGCUAUGUCUGUGCUCUGCUCUGACCUAUGGCCAUCUGAAUGCCUAGUAGCCUAACAGU